UACGUAGGGUGCGAGCGUUGUCCGGAUUUAUUGGGCGUAAAGAGCUCGCAGGCGGUUUGUCGCGUCGGCCGUGAAAUCUCCACGCUUAACGUGGAGCGUGCGGUCGAUACGGGCAGACUUGAGUUCGGUAGGGGAGACUGGAAUUCCUGGUGUAGCGGUGAAAUGCGCAGAUAUCAGGAGGAACACCGGUGGCGAAGGCGGGUCUCUGGGCCGAUACUGACGCUGAGGAGCGAAAGCGUGGGGAGCGAACAGG
rnacentral:rRNA from 1 species